CUAACCGCAUACCUCCUGUCGACUUAUCGCAUACCUUCAAUCUCCAGUUAAUUUCGCACCUUCGGCUUCCGUCUCGCUCGAUUCCGAAUGGCGAACCAUCCAUGAGACGAGGAUGGAAACUGGCGAGUCUUUUAAGGCACAGGAAUGGCAAGGAGCUGUAUUCAGUUAAUUGUCAUCUACUGUAUUCGAGUGACAUUUUCAGAUAAGUCAAUUAGUUUAGGUUCGCGACGAAGCAACUAAAGUAGAAUCUCUGACUACGUUCGAGAACUUUUCAGCUGCCGUUUGGCAUGUGGUAGCACAAAAGUGGCAACUGCUGGCAAUUCAUCAACAGCAUCAACAUUCGGAUUGAUUUUCGGAAUUUUUUUCCAGUCUCCAAAUGAAGCGGUGAAUUUCAUUCCAGCUAUUCCGGUACUUUAGGGAUAAAAAAAGAAUUGCUUAGUCCCGUCCCGAAUUCCAUGUGUUUGCUUCAAAUAUGAAUCCCAUCAACACGGACGUAGCAGAAUCUAGAACAAUGCGACGCUGAACUGUUCCUCAAGAGCGUACGAAUCCUCCAAACAAGAAGUGGAGCAUUGUUUAUGGUGCUUUAUCUUUAAAGAUUUGUUUUACGCCUCACGGAUGGAUUUAUUGGCGAAAUUGAUUUGUUAAACCGAUCGAUGCAGUAGAUUCCCUUAGCGGAGCGUUUUCAGGAAUUUAUGGACAUAUCUGUUCUGGGUCAGGUCAGUGGCUCUUUUGCAAGGUCUAUGGGAAAAUUUCGAUUUUUGUUGUAACAAUAAAUUGUUAAAAACAUUUAAGUUUAGGGCAGGCGUGUUAGAGAUUUUAUCUACUGUUAGCUGCUUGUGCAUCCAAAAAAGUAUACCUUCUAAUUUCUAGAGCUUCGGAUACCAAUUUCCGUUGUGUAUAAACAAACUUUAUGUAAAAUUAA